rnacentral:rRNA from 1 species
UGGAGAAUAUCGGACAAUGGGCGCAAGCCUGAUCCAGCAAUGCCGCGUGUGUGAAGAAGGCCUGCGGGUUGUAAAGCACUUUCAGUGGGGAGGAAGGCCUCGGCGUUAAUAUCGUCGAGGAUUGACGUUACCUACAGAAGAAGCACCGGCUAACUCUGUGCCAGCAGCCGCGGUAAUACAGAGGGUGCAAGCGUUAAUCGGAAUUACUGGGCGUAAAGGGCGCGUAGGUGGUUAAUUAAGUCAGAUGUGAAAUCCCCGGGCUUAACCUGGGAAUUGCAUUUGAAACUGAUUGGCUAGAGUACGGGAGAGGGAAGUGGAAUUUCCGGUGUAGCGGUGAAAUGCGUAGAUAUCGGAAGGAACACCAGUGGCGAAGGCGACUUCCUGGCCCGUUACUGACACUGAGGCGCGAAAGCGUGGGGAGCGAAC